CUCCCGCUGAGCAGGGAGCCCGAUGUGGGACUCGAUCCCAGGACCCUGCAAUCAUGACCUGAGCUGAAGGCAGAUGCUUAAUGACUGAGCCACCCAGGCGCCCCUGUGUCUUUAUUUCUGCUAUAAAUAUAUAGCAUUAUUGAGCCUGAAAAUUAAGGAAACAAAUGGUUUCCUCUCUUCCACCCACCUCCUCCCCUCACUUCUCAACCUUUGUAAGUUUCCCUUCCUAUGAUUAGAAAAAUUUGUAAACACCUUACAGCCAGAGAAGCCGGACAAAGAAGAUGGAAGGUGUGAGGAAGAGGUAAACGAGAAGAGGCAAAGGUUCACAUUUGAAUGAUGACUGCAAUCCUUUCUUGAAACCAAGAAGAUAAAGUGUAGCUUUCAUAAUCACCAUGAGGACAUGCCAUGGUAGCCUGUGAUCCCAGAAGAAUCAAAGUCAUGUGGAGCAGAUGUAGACCAAGCUCACUGGAACUCAA